rnacentral:rRNA from 1 species
UACGGAGGGUGCAAGCGUUAUCCGGAUUCACUGGGUUUAAAGGGUGCGUAGGAGGGCAGGUAAGUCAGUGGUGAAAUCUCCAAGCUUAACUUGGAAACUGCCGUUGAUACUAUCUGUCUUGAAUACCGUGGAGGUGAGCGGAAUAUGUCAUGUAGCGGUGAAAUGCUUAGAUAUGACAUAGAACACCAAUUGCGAAGGCAGCUCGCUAACA